rnacentral:rRNA from 1 species
GACGAACGCUGGCGGCGUGCCUAAUACAUGCAAGUAGAACGCAAAGUUUAUACCGUAGCUUGCUACACCAUAGACUGUGAGUUGCGAACGGGUGAGUAACGCGUCGGUAACCUGCCUGGUAGCGGGGGGUAACUAUUGGAAACGCUAGCUAGUACCGCAUACUAUUUAUUAUUGCAUGAUAAUUAAUUGCAGGUUGCAAUUGCCCCGCUACCAAAUGGCCUUGCGUUGGAUUAGCUAGUAGGUGAGGUAACGGCUCACCUAGGCGACGAUACAUAGCCGACAGGCGAGGGCGAUUGGCCAGACUGGGACUGUGACACGGCCCAGACUCCCACGGGAGGCAGCAGUAGUGAUACUUCGGCAAUGGGCGAAAGUCUGACCGCACUACGCCGCGUGCGGGAGCAAGAAUUCCGGAUCGUAAAUCUCUGUCGUCAGAGAGGAACGCGUGUGAGAGUGUAAAGUUCACACUGUGACGGUAACUGAUCAGAAAGGGACGGCUAACUACGUG